UACGGAGGGGGCUAGCGUUGUUCGGAAUUACUGGGCGUAAAGCGCGCGUAGGCGGGCUGGCCAGUUGGGGGUGAAAUCCCGGGGCUUAACCCCGGAACUGCCCUCAAUACUGCCAGUCUAGAGUUCGAGAGAGGUGAGUGGAAUUCCUAGUGUAGAGGUGAAAUUCGUAGAUAUUAGGAAGAACACCAGUGGCGAAGGCGGCUCACUGGCUCGCAACUGACGCUGAGGCGCGAAAGCGUGGGGAGCAAACAGG
rnacentral:misc_RNA from 1 species